rnacentral:misc_RNA from 1 species
AGUCGUAACAAGGUAUCCGUAGGUGAACCUGCGGAUGGAUCAUUAACAAAGGAUAUCAAUCCAAAGUAAUGUGAAUUGUAAUGAAAACACGGUCAGUAAGAUGUUUAAUUACUUUAGUUUGAUGGAAGCGAUUUCAUUAACUACUAAUUUCAAUAGCUUCAUGCUGGCUGUACCCAAAUCAAACUUUUAUCAAACUGACGUCUAUACUUUAGUUAUAACUAGAGAUACUUUUAGCAACGGAUCUCUUGGCUCUC